GGAGAGUUUGGGGUAGGGCUGGCAACGCGAUUGCGAUGCUUCUGGUGUUGCAAGCAUCUAUAAGCUACAGUGAUUGCUUAACAUCAGGUGAGCCGUACUCUUGUUUGGCGACCUAGUUGUA